rnacentral:rRNA from 1 species
GAUGAACGCUGGUGGCGUGCCUAAUACAUGCAAGUCGAGCGAACGGACGAGAAGCUUGCUUCUCUGAUGUUAGCGGCGGACGGGUGAGUAACACGUGGAUAACCUACCUAUAAGACUGGGAUAACUUCGGGAAACCGGAGCUAAUACCGGAUAAUAUUUUGAACCGCAUGGUUCAAAAGUGAAAGACGGUCUUGCUGUCACUUAUAGAUGGAUCCGCGCUGCAUUAGCUAGUUGGUAAGGUAACGGCUUACCAAGGCAACGAUGCAUAGCCGACCUGAGAGGGUGAUCGGCCACACUGGAACUGAGACACGGUCCAGACUCCUACGGGAGGCAGCAGUAGGGAAUCUUCCGCAACGGGCGAAAGCCUGACGGAGCAACGCCGCGUGAGUGAUGAAGGUCUUCGGAUCGUAAAACUCUGUUAUUAGGGAAGAACAUAUGUGUAAGUAACUGUGCACAUCUUGACGGUACCUAAUCAGAAAGCCACGGCUAACUACGUG